rnacentral:piRNA from 1 species
UGAGAGUGUCCAUUAGAAAUGGAGACCUGGU